GCAAGUCGAGCGGGCCCUUCGGGGUCAGCGGCGGACGGGUGAGUAACGCGUGGGAACGUGCCUUCUGGUUCGGAACAACCCUGGGAAACUAGGGCUAAUACCGGAUACGCCCUUUUUGGGGAAAGGUUUACCGCCGGAAGAUCGGCCCGCGUCUGAUUAGCUAGUUGGUGGGGUAACGGCCUACCAAGGCGACGAUCAGUAGCUGGUCUGAGAGGAUGAUC
rnacentral:rRNA from 1 species